rnacentral:rRNA from 1 species
GAUGAACGCUGGCGGCGUGCCUAAUACAUGCAAGUCGAGCGAAUGGAUUAAGAGCUUGCUCUUAUGAAGUUAGCGGCGGACGGGUGAGUAACACGUGGGUAACCUGCCCAUAAGACUGGGAUAACUCCGGGAAACCGGGGCUAAUACCGGAUAACAUUUUGAACCGCAUGGUUCGAAAUUGAAAGGCGGCUUCGGCUGUCACUUAUGGAUGGACCCGCGUCGCAUUAGCUAGUUGGUGAGGUAACGGCUCACCAAGGCAACGAUGCGUAGCCGAACUGAGAGGGUGAUCGGCCACACUGGGACUGGGACACGGCCCAGACUCCUACGGGAGGCAGCAGUAGGGAAUCUUCCGCAAUGGACGAAAGUCUGACGGAGCAACGCCGCGUGAGUGAUGAAGGCUUUCGGGUCGUAAAACUCUGUUGUUAGGGAAGAACAAGUGCUAGUUGAAUAAGCUGGCACCUUGACGGUGCCUAACCAGAAAGCCACGGCUAACUACGUGCCAGCCGCCGCAGUAA